rnacentral:snoRNA from 1 species
UGUUGUGAUGAUCACUAGUAAUAGGAAGUGCCGUCAGAAGCGAUGACUGACGACGUUUAUGCUUGAUCUGAUU